rnacentral:rRNA from 1 species
UACGUAGGGGGCAAGCGUUGUCCGGAUUUAUUGGGCGUAAAGAGCGUGUAGGCGGCCAGAUAGGUCCGUUGUGAAAACUGGAGGCUUAACCUCCAGCUGUCGAUGGAAACCAUCUGGCUAGAGUCCGGAAGAGGAGAGUGGAAUUCCUGGUGUAGCGGUGAAAUGCGCAGAUAUCAGGAAGAACACCAAUAGCGAAGGCAGCUCGCUGGGACGUUACUGACACUGAGGCGCGAAAGCGUGGGGAGCGAACAGG